rnacentral:rRNA from 1 species
ACGCACGCUGGCGGCGUGCUUAACACAUGCAAGUCGAACGGAAAGGCCCUGCUUUUGUGGGGUGCUCGAGUGGCGAACGGGUGAGUAACACGUGAGUAACCUGCCCUUGACUUUGGGAUAACUUCAGGAAACUGGGGCUAAUACCGGAUAGGAGCUCCUGCUGCAUGGUGGGGGUUGGAAAGUUUCGGCGGUUGGGGAUGGACUCGCGGCUUAUCAGCUUGUUGGUGGGGUAGUGGCUUACCAAGGCUUUGACGGGUAGCCGGCCUGAGAGGGUGACCGGCCACAUUGGGACUGAGAUACGGCCCAGACUCCUACGGGAGGCAGCAGUGGGGAAUAUUGCACAAUGGGCGGAAGCCUGAUGCAGCAACGCCGCGUGCGGGAUGACGGCCUUCGGGUUGCAAACCGCUUUCGCCUGUGACGAAGCGUGAGUGACGGUAAUGGGUAAAGAAGCACCGGCUAACUACGUG